rnacentral:miRNA from 1 species
CGCUUGCAUCCUCUUAUGCAC